GCGAACGCUGGCGGCAGGCUUAACACAUGCAAGUCGAGCGCCGCAGCAAUACGGAGCGGCAGACGGGUGAGUAACACGUGGGAACGUACCUCUUGGUUCGGAACAACACAGGGGAACUUGUGCUAAUACCGGAUAAGCCCUUACGGGGAAAGAUUUAUCGCCGAGAGAUCGGCCCGCGUCUGAUUAGCUAGUUGGUGAGGUAACGGCUCACCAAGGCGACGAUCAGUAGCUGGUCUGAGAGGAUGAUCAGCCACACUGGGACUGAGACACGGCCCAGACUCCUACGGGAGGCAGCAGUGGGGAAUCUUGCACAAUGGGCGCAAGCCUGAUGCAGCGACGCCGCGUGGGGGAUGAAUGCCUUCGGGUUGUAAACCUCUUUCAGUAGGGAAGAAGCGAAAGUGACGGUACCUGCAGAAGAAGCGCCGGCUAACUACGUGCCAGCCGCCGCGGUAAU
rnacentral:rRNA from 1 species